rnacentral:rRNA from 1 species
AUGUUACAAGGAACUGAAAAAAGGGAGCAGCCUCUUAUUAAUCUCAAGGGCUACCUGAUCGGCAAUCCUAUAACAGACCCAAAGUUCGAGAAAAAUUUCCAAGUUCAAGGGGCUCAUGGCUUUGGGAUAAUAUCUGACCAAAUAUAUGAGGCUGCAAUGAAGAACUGCAAAGGAAAUUAUGUAAAGCCCGCGAAUCAACUGUGUGCUGAGGUGCUAGAAACUAUAGACAAUCUCAUUUCUGAAAUCACAGAUGCACACGUCCUUUACAAAAAAUGUGUCGUCGCCACGCCAAAGCCCAUAGAUGAUGCUGUAAGAAGAAAAUUUCUGCUAGAAGAAUCAAUCGAGCGAAAUGAAGCGCUUGGUCUCGAUUGUUUUACAUACGGUUACUACCUGGCAUACUUCUGGAUGAACAACAGGAUGACUAGAGAUGCUCUCGGGAUCAAGGGGGGAACAGUUGGCGAGUGGGUGAGAUGCAAAAAAGAACUCCCCUACACACAGGACAUGCCAAGCAGCAUACCGUACCAUCUUAAUCUCACCACGAGAGGUUACCGUGCACUCGUAUACAGCGGAGACCAUGAUCUCCAGGUGCCUCAGCUCAACACGCAGGCGUGGAUAAGAUCUUUGAACUUCUCCAUCGACGAUGACUGGAGGGCAUGGCAUCUCGAUGGCCAGGCUGCAGGAUUUACCAUCACAUAUGCAAAUAACUUGACCUUUGCAACAGUAAAGGGUGGAGGUCAUACUGCUCUAGAGUACCAGCCUGAAGAAUGCUUUGCCAUGGCCCAAAGGUGGCUUGACAACAAGCCACUUUGA